rnacentral:rRNA from 1 species
CGUAGGUAGUUGUAGUCUAGUGGUACUCGACGGACGACGCGUGGCGGCGUGGGAUUAGGCAUGCAAGUCGAACGGUAUCUAUCCUUUCGGGGGUGAGAGAGUGGCGAACUGGUGAGUAACACGUAGGUUAUCUACCCUCAAGACGGGGACAACCCAGGGAAACUUGGGCUAAUACCGGAUGUGAGCAACUUUUAGUUGUUUGAAAGGUGGCGUAAGCUGUCGCUUGGGGAUGAGCCUGCGUCCUAUUAGUUAGUUGGUGAGGUAACGGCUCACCUAGGCAAUGAUAGGUAGGCGGCCUUAACGGGUGGUCGCCCACACUGGGGAUUGAGAUACGGCCCAGACUCCUACGGGAGGCAGCAGUCGAGAAUAGUCUACAAUGGUCGGAAGACUGAUAGUGCGACGCCGCGUGAACGAUGAAUCCCUUCGGGGUGUAAAGUUCUUUUAUAUGUGAGCAGUGCUUCUUAUAUUAACAGUAUGGGGAGAGAGAUAUUAGCAUAUGAAUAAGCAACGGCUAACUCCGUG